rnacentral:rRNA from 1 species
UCUUCCGCAAUGGACGAAAGUCUGACGGAGCAACGCCGCGUGAGUGAUGAAGGUUUUCGGAUCGUAAAACUCUGUUGUUAGGGAGGAANNAGUACCGUUCGAAUAGGGCGGCACCUUGACGGUACCUAACCAGAAAGCCACGGCUAACUACGUGCCAGCAGCCGCGGUAAUACGUAGGUGGCAAGCGUUGUCCGGCAGUAUUGGGCGUAAAGCGCGCGCAGGCGGUUUCGUAAGUGUGAUGUGAAAGGACCCGGCUCAACCGGGGAGGGUCAUUGGAAACUGGGGAACUUGAGUGCAGAAGAGGAGAGUGGAAUUCAACGUGUAGCGGUGAAAUGCGUAGAGAUGUGGAGGAACACCAGUGGCGAAGGCGACUCUCUGGUCUGUAACUGACGCUGAGGCGCGAAAGCGUGGGGAGCGAACAGG